GACGAACGCUGGCGGCGUGCUUAACACAUGCAAGUCGAACGGAAAGGCCCUGCUUUUGUGGGGUGCUCGAGUGGCGAACGGGUGAGUAACACGUGAGUAACCUGCCCUUGACUUUGGGAUAACUUCAGGAAACUGGGGCUAAUACCGGAUAGGAGCUCCUGCUGCAUGGUGGGGGUUGGAAAGUUUCGGCGGAUGGGGAUGGACUCGCGGCUUAUCAGCUUGUUGGUGGGGUAGUGGCUUACCAGGGCUUUGACGGGUAGCCGGCCUGAGAGGGUGACCGGCCACAUUGGGACUGAGAUACGGCCCAGACUCCUACGGGAGGCAGCAGUGGGGAAUAUUGCACAAUGGGCGGAAGCCUGAUGCAGCAACGCCGCGUGCGGGAUGACGGCCUUCGGGUUGUAAACCGCUUUCGCCUGUGACGAAGCGUGAGUGACGGUAAUGGGUAAAGAAGCACCGGCUAACUACGUG
rnacentral:rRNA from 1 species